rnacentral:rRNA from 1 species
AUUGAACGCUGGCGGCAGGCCUAACACAUGCAAGUCGAACGAGGGGCGGACGGGUGAGUAAUGUCUGUGAAACUGCCUGAUGGAGGGGGAUAACUACUGGAACCGGUAGCUAAUCCCGCAUACCAUCAGAUGUUCCCAGAUGUGAUUAGCUAGUGGGUGGGGUAACGGCGCACCAAGGCGACGAUCCCUGGCUGGUCUGAGAGGAUGACCGGCCACACUGGAACUGAGCCACAGUCCCGACUCCGACGGGAGGCAGCAGGGUGGAAUCUUGCACAAUGGGCGCAAGCCUGAGGCGGCCAUGCCGCGUGUAGGAAGAAGGCCUUCGGGUUGUAAAGUCCUUUCAGCGGGGAGGCGUUACCCGCAGAAGAAGCACCGGCUAACUCCGUGCCAGCAGCCGCGGUAAUUC